UUCAUGAGUUUGGACUUGGUUUUCCUAUC
rnacentral:piRNA from 1 species